GAUCGGUACGGUCAAGGCUUUACCGACAGACUUUUCAAGAAGUCAGAGGAUUCGGCCCGUUCGGGGCAAUACCCGGCAAACAUCAAAAAGG
ncrna:unclassified sequences RT-9 RNA